rnacentral:lncRNA from 1 species
AAAAAUACUCAGUUUCAGGAUUAUUCUCAAAGAUUUCUCUGGCUUCUUCCUUGUUGCAUAAUUCUUCAACACACUCUCUUUCUAAAUUUCCCUUCUUACUUUCUUCCAUAAAAGAAUUUGCUCGACGUUUCCUCGCCAGGAACUCAGAGGCAUACUGGUGGGAUAAAAAGGUCGCAGCCUCCGCCAGGGCGAGGGCCACCGCCAGGCCGGCGAGCAGCGGCACGCACCGCCCGCCCCGCGGCCUCAUCGCUGCCGGCGGGCGGCGGGGAGCGGGCACG